AAACAAAUAUGCGGGGGUGUUCUAAAUGAGAAAUCCCACGAAAUCGUUUGAUCCUAAAAAAUUGAGCGAGAGGGGCCAACAUGUGCCACACGCGGUUUUUGUUCAACAAAUAAUCAUCAAACCCCGUUAUAUUUUUUUAAGAUGCACAAAGGGAGGUGGCUGGGUCCGUUUCGUGCGCAUGCGUCGUUUUGAAAAGGUGCACGCCAGGUAGAGGGAGGGAUAAGAGAGAGAGAAAGAGAGAGAGAGAGGAGCCGGAGUGAGCCUCCAAUUGACAUUUGAUACUCAGGAAGUUGACGACGCCGUUCGGAUUCUUCUUUUGUCUCAUUGGAAUUGUGCGUCGCCGCUCGCGAACACGCACCGCAGCCUCUCAUACAUCUUUUCAUUUCAGCGAAAAAAAGCAUGAAUUGAAGAUGAAAAAUACUCGAGUUGGCGUGCCGCGAUGACGCAACGCGAUAGGGAGCCGCAACAAGGCUUUUCCUGGUGGUCUUGACAUUGACUCCUGUUCUGUGUAUGGCACUGGUAGAAUUCACUGUGAGAGCUCACUAUCAGUGAAUUACCAUAGGGCCAUAAACAGAGCAGAGAAAGAACCACUUUUGCACGCCGCGCACUCAGGCAGCUCUCCGGUGGUGUUUGGCAAUGGUAGAACUCACACUGGUGAGCUAGAAGGAUCCGGUGGUUCUAGACUUGCCAACUACUGCUCGAGAGACUCCACUUGCAAUGGAGAAACAGAAAAGCAAGACUCCCUCCCAUCUACUCCUGUCCCAAGUCAAUGAGUGAGUGGCUGUUGGUGGUGAAGGGCGAGGUGACUCUCUGUUCUUCCCUUGCACACCACAGCCUCACAGCUCCCGUUUCCAGGAGGACAGUGAACACAACAAUGCAGAUCGCACGUCACUGCGCACGUUGGCCCAGGGGAUGUCAUCGGGCCACCACACGGGCUUGCAGCUCUCCUUGCCCCAGCCGGGUUUGCCUCGGCCCGUCGAGUACUUCAGCAUCUCUGGGAUGAAGGCUCGCAGCUGGGCCUGCAACAGAACAACAAAACGAGUGAGCCUGAAAUAAAUAUGCCCUUGACGAGGAAAAAAAACAAGUGCGAG